CACCGAGCUGCCGAUGAUUGGCCAAACUGGCCGCCAAACAGACACGUCACGCGGCAGCCGGGCGGGGCGGGACAGAACUCUCGCCCGAGCGGCCGGGGUGAGUGUGAGUGUGAGAGCGAGAACAGCCCCGCAGGUCCCGAGGCGCUGGCUGGGGACAAUGCCGCGGAAAGUUCCCAGUCCCCAGCCGCAGAUCUGCAGAAUUGAAAUGAAAUGUUUUGAGCUCUUCAAGCUGACUCGUCAGAAUCCUGGAGCCUUUUAAAAAAUGACGAAUUGGAAGGAAAAAUUACUUUAUCAAUAACCAGGCUCCACCAGGAUUGACCUAGAUGGUUGUUCCUGGCACUUGUCAUUCUCAGCAAGCACAGCUCAGAGAACAAAUACAAAAGACCCAAAGUGCAUUGCAUCUUUUAUGGAAGUGCCCAAUGUGGAAAUCAUAGAUUUCAAGGAAGGAACAAGAAAAUUGAUGAAACAAGUUCAAAAGAAAGGUACCUGUGCCUCAUCAUUCCUAAAGAACACUGAUCAAUGAUCCCAGAAGUAUGCCAUGUUCUCUUAAUUCAUCAGAGACUGAAAGCAAAGGAAAAUCAAGAAAUGUCAUGAUGUCAUACUAAGAAGAAACCACCUGAGAUGAGACUGUUAGAUGUUCAGAGCAAACAAAAACAAAAACAGACCAACAAAAAAAACCCAAAACAAAACAGAAGUUUCUGAAGGACAGCAGAAAUGGGUCUUACUCACUGCAGGCUCAAACUCCCAAGGCUCAAGC
rnacentral:lncRNA from 1 species